rnacentral:rRNA from 1 species
UACGAAGGGGGCUAGCGUUGCUCGGAAUCACUGGGCGUAAAGCGCACGUAGGCGGCUUUCUAAGUCAGGGGUGAAAUCCUGGAGCUCAACUCCAGAACUGCCUUUGAUACUGGAGAGCUAGAGUCCGGAAGAGGUGAGUGGAACUGCGAGUGUAGAGGUGAAAUUCGUAGAUAUUAGGAAGAACACCGGUGGCGAAGGCGGCCCACUGGAUCGGUACUGACGCUGAGGUGCGAAAGCGUGGGGAGCAAACAGG